CCUACGGGUGGCAGCAGUGAGGAAUAUUGGUCAAUGGGCGCGAGCCUGAACCAGCCAAGUAGCGUGAAGGAUGACUGCCCUACGGGUUGUAAACUUCGUUUAUAAAGGAAUAAAGUUAGGCACGUGUGCCUUUUUGUAUGUACUUUAUGAAUAAGGAACGGCUAACUCCGUGCCAGCAGCCGCGGUAAUACGGAGGAUCCGAGCGUUGUCCGGAUUUAUUGGGUUUAAAGGGAGCGUAGGUGGGUUGUUAAGUCAGUUGUGAAAGUUUGCGGCUCAACCGUAAAAUUGCAAUUGAUACUGGCAGCCUUGAGUGCAGUUGAGGUAGGCGGAAUUCGUGGUGUAGCGGUGAAAUGCUUAGAUAUAACGAAGAACUCCGAUUGCGAAGGCAGCUUACUAAACUGCCACUGACAUUGAUGCUCGAAAGUGUGGGUAUCAAACAGGAUUAGAUACCCGAGUAGUC
rnacentral:rRNA from 1 species